rnacentral:rRNA from 1 species
GACGGAGGAUGCAAGCGUUAUCCGGAAUGAUUGGGCGUAAAGCGUCCGCAGGUGGCAGUUCAAGUCUGCUGUCAAAGACCGGGGCUUAACUUCGGAAAGGCAGUGGAAACUGAACAGCUAGAGUAUGGUAGGGGCAGAGGGAAUUCCUGGUGUAGCGGUGAAAUGCGUAGAGAUCAGGAAGAACAUCGGUGGCGAAGGCGGCAUCCUGGACCGGUAUUGACGCUGAGGCGCGAAAGCCAGGGGAGCAAACGGG